GGCCAUGGCAGGGUAGCCAAGUCCGGAAGGGAUAAACGCUGAAGGCAUCUAAGCGUGAAGCCCCCCUCAAGAUGAGAUAUCCCAGUAAGUAAGACCCCUUGAAGACUACGAGGUAGAUAGGCUUAAGGUGUAAGCACAGCAAUGUGUUGAGCUGAUAAGUACUAAUCGGUCGAGGGCUUAACCAA
rnacentral:rRNA from 1 species